CCUACGGGCGACAGCAGUGGGGAAUAUUGCACAAUGGGGGAAACCCUGAUGCAGCGACGCCGCGUGAGUGAAGAAGUAUUUCGGUAUGUAAAGCUCUGUCAGCAGGGAAGAAAAUGACGGUACCUGCCCAAGAAGCCCCGGCUAACUACGUGCCAGCAGCCGCGGUAAUACGUAGGGGGCAAGCGUUAUCCGGAUUUACUGGGUGUAAAGGGAGCGUAGACGGCAGGGCAAGUCUGGAGUGAAAGGCGGGGGCUCAACCCCCGGACUGCUCUGGAAACUGCCAGGCUUGAGUGCAGGAGAGGGAAGUGGAAUUCCUAGUGUAGCGGUGAAAUGCGUAGAUAUUAGGAGGAACACCAGUGGCGAAGGCGGCUUACUGGACUGUAACUGACGUUGAGGCGCGAAAGCGUGGGGAGCAAACAGGAUUAGAUACCCCUGUAGUC
rnacentral:rRNA from 1 species